CAGUGACAUUCUGAACAAUACCUGUGGAUGUAUCAAUGCACUUCCUCCAAAUAACACUUACUGCCAGCCACUAUCAGAACUUGAUACCUGUCCAACAACACCGACUCCUAUAGGUUCAACACCUGAAGCCACAACUUUGACUGUCACUAAUGCGACAGAACUCUCUAUGACAACAUUUGUGACAAAUUCAACACCAGCUGCUACUAAUGCAACAACUCCUGUGGCAAUACGUGUUACAAAUUCAACCCAAGCUGCCACCAAUGCAACAACGACAGCUGUGACAAAUUCAACACCCGAGGCCACGACUUUGACUGUCACUAAUGCAACAGAACCAUCUAUAACAACAUUUAUGACAAAUUCAACCCAAGCUGCCACCAACGCAACAACAACGUCUGUGACGAUAGCUGUG